GCAAAAUUACUUGAGCUGAAGCAAAGAAAAGCCACAGUGAUGGUAGAGCCUAGAAAACAGUAACUUGAUUGCUUUGAUUAAAGUGUGUGGAAAAUUACUCAUAAGAUUAGUGGGAGAGGUGCAUUUAGAUUUAAAUUCCAUCAAAACGAAACAAAACCAGCCUUUAAAAGUCAUCCAUGCUGAUUAACAUUUACAGAAUUCUUCUACAUUAGCAGAAAUCUUAUUUGAAUCUAAGGACUUCAUUUUGGACUUAUCUCCUGAAGUGUAUAUUAAUUGAAGGCUAGAAACUGAGAUUUGACUUGUCAACCAAAAAUUACACUGGAAACACAGCAAAAUAUUUUGAUAUUCCACUGUGCCUGCAAGAUGAAUAUGACAAAAUUCAUCCACUGGAAGAGCUCUCAGCUUGAUGGCAGAAGAUAAAUACAUAAAUGAAUAAUCAUAAAAUAAAAUGAUACACAGACUCAUAGACUCAGAAGGAAAUACAAGAGAAAGAUUCUCAGUAGUGAUGACACUUUGAAGAAUUAGUAGACACUAAGGGGAAAAGACACUUUCCUAAAGUGGAGAAACAUAAACAAGCACACUUAUCAAACCUCUCAAACAUUCUGCUGUUCUUUUAAGAUGAACGGCCUAAUAUAAAAGUGCAGGUGAGAGGCGACUUGGAGGAAUGGAAACUCACAUCAACACUGGAAACUGAAGGAAAUAGCAAUCUCCCAGAAAUUUUGUCUAAUUUUUCCAUGAUACAGUGUGGGAAGAAAUCUCUCAGAGUGGACUACAAGACAGCGGGAUAUAUCUACAUACAGACAAUUGCAGAGGACAAAAAAUACUCAACUCAGAUGCUCCAGCUGUAGGGAUGAUAAAGUUGUGUUGUCUACCAACUUCUCCCUAUGCCAUUGGGUAGCUAAAGACAUUGUUAAAGAAAAGACAAAAAAGGGACUUACAACUAUUUCAUUUUUAAGCAUUUCUCAUUGUGUAAUGGAAAGCCUGUGUAUAAUAGACAUUGUGUAAUGAAAAGCCUGGUGUAUAAUAGAUGAUAAUAGACUAAUAAAUGUGUACUGUUAAUCUCCC
rnacentral:lncRNA from 10 species